rnacentral:lncRNA from 1 species
CCCGUCCAUUAAUUUACAAUGAGAAAAGCAACAAGAGGUUGAGCACGAUAAUCUGUGUGCUGCUAUUAUCCCACAUUAGUUGCAAGAGAUUAGGGCGCAUAUAUGUACUACUGCAGAAAUUUCUUUAAAUUCAUUAAAUAAUAAAUAUUGAGUCUUGAUGCAGCGCUUAACUUUGAGAUUCCUUCAUAAUUUCAUUUCCUAUUCCCAUUCUUAUAUUAUUAAAAGAAAAUAUAAGACGUCAGGAAGGUGUUGCCUCCACCUCUUCCUCCCUCUCUUUUAGAUCUACCCAAUUGCGGAUCUGAGAUUUGGACGGCGGAUUUCGUCAGAUUUCGACGGGGUUGACGAUGACGAUGACGAUGAUGGGGACGAUAGUGGUUGUGGGACGCAGGAUGUUUCCGCAAGAGAAGAGAGGAGAGAAUGGAAAGAGGAAGAAAAUGUGUUUUUUUCUUUGGGUUUGUAUUGGUUGUGAGGUUGAAGAAAGUGUGAAAAAAUUAUAGUGUGGAGGGAUUAUAGUAAGAUCAAUGUUCUUCAUCAAUUCAAUGGUGACACAAGUCAUUUUUGUUAUACAAAAAAAAAAAUCAGUACUUUUUAAAGUCUCCUACCGUGGGAGACCUAUUCAAGUCUCCUAUCGGAAACGGCGCCAUGAGAAUAAUACCGAAAAACAAAAUUCAAAUAAAAGCUUAGU